rnacentral:rRNA from 1 species
AACUUUCAACAACGGAUCUCUUGGCUCUGGCAUCGAUGAAGAACGCAGCGAAAUGCGAUAAGUAAUGUGAAUUGCAGAAUUCAGUGAACCAUCGAAUCUUUGAACGCACAUUGCGCCCGCCAGCACUCUGGCGGGCAUGCCUGUUCGAGCGUCAUUUC